rnacentral:rRNA from 1 species
ACUCAAAUGAAUUGACGGGGGCCCGCACAAGCGGUGGAGCAUGUGGUUCAAUUCGACGCAACGCGAAGAACCUUACCCAGGCUCGAACGGCAUUGGACAUCCGGCGAAAGCCGGCUCCCGCAAGGGCCGAUGUCGAGGUGCUGCAUGGCUGUCGUCAGCUCGUGUCGUGAGAUGUUGGGUUAAGUCCCGCAACGAGCGCAACCCUUGUCCGCUGUUGCCAUCAGGUUAUGCUGGGCACUCUGCGGAGACUGCCGGUGAUAAACCGGAGGAAGGUGGGGAUGACGUCAAGUCAGCAUGGCCUUUAUGUCUGGGGCUACACACGUGCUACAAUGGCCGAUACAAACCGUCGCGAUGCCGCAAGGUGGAGCUAAUCGGAGAAAGUCGGUCUCAGUUCGGAUUGCAGGCUGCAACUCGCCUGCAUGAAGUUGGAAUCGCUAGUAAUCGCGGAUCAGCACGCCGCGGUGAAUACGUUCCCGGGCCUUGUACACACCGCCCGU